rnacentral:tRNA from 1 species
GGAUGUGGCUUAGGGGUAGAGUGCUUACCUAGCAUGUAUGAGGCACUGGGUUCAAUUCUCAGCACCA